GAUUAGGAUUCAGAAUGACCAUGAUGAAUUAGAAAAAUGGUCUGAAAUUAAUUCAAUAAAAGACACAUGAAAACCCCUGUAUUUAGGACAGAAUAAUCACAUGCCCAAAUAAAUACUGGGCAAUGACUGGGAACAUGAGACAACAGUGUGCUCUUGCUGCAAAGAAAGGCAACAGCAUACCAGGUUGUUUUGGCAGGUGUUGCCUGCAAGUCGAGGGAAGUGAUUCUUUAGCUCUGUUCUGCACCAGUGAGGCCUCACUUGGAGUACUGUGUCCAGUUUUUGGCACUGCACAUGGACAAACUGGAAUGGGUCCAGUACUAAGAAAGAAAAAAAAA